AGUGAACGCUGGCGGUAGGCCUAACACAUGCAAGUCGAACGGCAGCACAGUAAGAGCUUGCUCUUACGGGUGGCGAGUGGCGGACGGGUGAGGAAUACAUCGGAAUCUACUUUUUCGUGGGGGAUAACGUAGGGAAACUUACGCUAAUACCGCAUACGACCUACGGGUGAAAGCAGGGGAUCUUCGGACCUUGCGCGAUUGAAUGAGCCGAUGUCGGAUUAGCUAGUUGGCGGGGUAAAGGCCCACCAAGGCGACGAUCCGUAGCUGGUCUGAGAGGAUGAUCAGCCACACUGGAACUGAGACACGGUCCAGACUCCUACGGGAGGCAGCAGUGGGGAAUAUUGGACAAUGGGCGCAAGCCUGAUCCAGCCAUACCGCGUGUGUGAAGAAGGCCUUCGGGUUGUAAAGCCCUUUUGUUGGGAAAGAAAAGCAGCAGGUUAAUACCCCGCUGUUCUGACGGUACCCAAAGAAUAAGCACCGGCUAACUUCGUG
rnacentral:rRNA from 1 species